rnacentral:rRNA from 1 species
CGAACAGGGUGAGUAAUAUAUCGGAACGUGCCCUAGAGUGGGGGAUAACUAGUCGAAAGACUAGCUAAUACCGCAUACGAUCUAAGGAUGAAAGUGGGGGAUCGCAAGACCUCAUGCUCGUGGAGCGGCCGAUAUCUGAUUAGCUAGUUGGUGGGGUAAAAGCCUACCAAGGCAACGAUCAGUAGCUGGUCUGAGAGGACGACCAGCCACACUGGGACUGAGACACGGCCCAGACUCCUACGGGAGGCAGCAGUGGGGAAUUUUGGACAAUGGGGGCAACCCUGAUCCAGCAAUGCCGCGUGAGUGAAGAAGGCCUUCGGGUUGUAAAGCUCUUUUGUCAGGGAAGAAACGGUUCUGGAUAAUACCUGGAGCUAAUGACGGUACCUGAAGAAUAAGCACCGGCUAACUACGUGCCAGCAGCCGCGGUAAUACGUAGGGUGCAAGCGUUAAUCGGAAUUACUGGGCGUAAAGCGUGCGCAGGCGGUUGUGUAAGUCAGAUGUGAAAUCCCCGGGCUCAACCUGGGAAUUGCAUUUGAGACUGCACGGCUAGAGUGUGUCAGAGGGGGGUAGAAUUCCACGUGUAGCAGUGAAAUGCGUAGAUAUGUGGAG